UACGUAGGGUCCGAGCGUUGUCCGGAAUCAUUGGGCGUAAAGAGCGUGUAGGCGGCUCGAUAAGUCUGCUGUGAAAGUCCAGGGCUCAACCCUGGAAGGCCGGUGGAAACUGUCGGGCUAGAGUCCGGAAGAGGCGAGUGGAAUUCCCGGUGUAGCGGUGAAAUGCGCAGAUAUCGGGAGGAACACCAAUGGCGAAGGCAGCUCGCUGGGACGUUACUGACGCUGAGACGCGAAAGCGUGGGGAGCAAACAGG
rnacentral:rRNA from 1 species